CAUUUGCUUCUUGAGUUGAUUUCAAAAUGAAGUUAUUCGUGAUGGAGUUCAAGCGCAAUAAUAUAAAUACGUUAUAUUUGAUUGGAAAACCAUAACCGGCUAUUGUUGGCGAACUUAGACACCUCAAAGUGAACAAAAUACUUGUGUAUCGCCGUAAAUCGGUAUAAUGAUAUUGGUGGUGUUGCAAAAAGCCAUGGUGCUGGUCAAAAAAAAAGCUAUUACAACAACUGGAGUGGUUUGGCGAGUGAAGGCUCGAAUUCAACGAAAUCCACGCCGUGGUGGCAAUCAAAUUGCUAAAAACCUGAAAAUAUCGCGUGAAAGGAAGCAACAUAUAUUGAAAACCGAAAAUGGAGUAAAACUUAUAUAUAUGGGCUGGAGCUACUCGACCGUGUGCAGAGCAGAGCGAUGGCGUUGAUUGGGGACAGUAGGGUAUUAAAAUCUAUUGCCUCCCUUGAACAUCCUCGCAAUGUGUGUUGUUUGCGCUGUUCUAUCGAUACUUUCAUGAAAUACCAGACAUUCCAGCAACUCAAACCCGUUUGCAAUUGAUUGGCCAGCGGACCAGACAAUGCAUUACAGAGAGAAUUCUUAUUUCGCCCGAACCGUUCGUAUGUGGAAUCGAAUUCCGGCUAAUGAUCUUCCCACCCACUAUGACAUCCAGAGAUUUAAGAUAAAUGUCAAUAAACGCUACAUCCAAUUCCUAAUUUCCAUUCUCCUCACGAAAAAAAACGUUUGAGACAUUUUUACGAGAAACAAAAUACUUUUAUUACAAAAUUUCGCUUUUAUUGUAAUUAUGUAAGGUUUCGCUUUAAUAUAAACGUAGUAUUAUCAAAUGUAA